rnacentral:rRNA from 1 species
GAUGAACGCUAGCGGGAGGCCUAACACAUGCAAGCCGAGCGGUAUUGUUUCUUCGGAAAUGAGAGAGCGGCGUACGGGUGCGGAACACGUGUGCAACCUGCCUUUAUCUGGAGGAUAGCCUUUCGAAAGGAGGAUUAAUACUCCAUAAUAUAUUAAUUGGCAUCAAUUGAUAUUGAAAACUCCGGUGGAUAGAGAUGGGCACGCGCAAGAUUAGCUAGUUGGUGAGGUAACGGCUAACCAAGGCAAUGAUCGUUAGGGGGCCUGAGAGGGUGGUCCCCCACACUGGUACUGAGACACGGACCAGACUCCUACGGGAGGCAGCAGUGAUGAAUAUUGGUCAAUGGGUGCAAGCCUGAACCAGCCAUCCCGCGUGAAGGAUUAAGGUCCUAUGGAUUGUAAACUUCUUUUGUAUAGGGAUAAACCUACCCUCGUGAGGGUAGCUGAAGGUACUAUACGAAUAAGCACCGGCUAACUCCGUGCCAGCCGCCGCCGUAAGAC